rnacentral:rRNA from 1 species
AUCCAAGUCAUUGAGUUAUAAUAAACUUAAGGGGGUAAUUAACUUAACUAAUUAUAUAAUAUAUAUUAUAAAUGGGAUUAAUUUUUUGUCUAUUUUGUUUAUAAAUAGUCMAUUAAUUCAAUCCCGGGGCGUUCCMUAUAGUUAUGUAUAAUGAUAAUUUAUUAUUAUUUAUAUCUCUWACUGGARCGUACCUUGARCAUAUAUGUUGUGACCCSAAARAUGGUGAACUAUACUUGAUCAGGUUGAARUCMGGGGAAACCCUGAUGGAARAMCGAAACAGUUCUGAMSUGCAAAUCCAUUGGCANAAUUGAAUAUAGGGGCCAAAGAACAAUCCAACCAUCUA